rnacentral:rRNA from 1 species
UCGUACGCACUGGCCCAACUGAUUGAUGGUGCUUGCAUUGACGAUGGAUCACCAGUGAGUGGCGGACGAACACGUAGGUAACCUGCCCCGGAGCGGGGGAUAACAUUUGGAAACAGAUGCUAAUACCGCAUAACAACAAAAGCCGCAUGGCUUUUGUUUGAAAGAUGGCUUUGGCUAUCACUCUGGGAUGGACCUGCGGUAGCUAGUUAGGUAACGGCUUACCAAGGCGAUGAUGCAUAGCCAAGUUGAGAGACUGAUCGGCCACAAUGGAACUGAGACACGGUCCAUACUCCUACGGGAGGCAGCAGUAGGGAAUCUUCCACAAUGGGCGCAAGCCUGAUGGAGCAACACCGCGUGAGUGAAGAAGGGUUUCGGCUCGUAGCUCUGUUGUUGGAGAAGAACGUGCGUGAGAGUAACUGUUCACGCAGUGACGGUAUCCAACCAGAAAGUCACGGCUAACUACGUGCCAGCAGCCGCGGUAAUACGUAGGUGGCAAGCGUUAUCCGGAUUUAUUGGGCGUAAAGCGAGCGCAGGCGGUUGCUUAGGUCUGACGGCUUAACCGAAGAAGUGCAUCGGAAACCGGGCGACUUGAGUGCAGAGGACAGUGGAACUCCAUGUGUAGCGGUGGAAUGCGUAGAUAUAUGGAAGAACACCAGUGGCGAAGGCGGCUGUCUGGUCUGCAACUGACGCUGAGGCUCGAAAGCAUGGGUAGCGAACAGGAUUAGAUACCCUGGCCAUGCCGUAAACGAUGAGUGCUAGGUGUUGGAGGGUUUCCGCCCUUCAGUGCCGGAGCUAACGCAUUAAGCACUCCGCCUGGGGAGUACGACCGCAAGGUUGAAACUCAAAGGAAUUGACGGGGGCCCGCACAAGCGGUGGAGCAUGUGGUUUAAUUCGAAGCUACGCGAAGAACCAGGUCUUGACAUCUUGCGCUAACCUUAGAGAUAAGGCGUUCCCUUCGGGGACGCAAUGACAGGUGGUGCAUGGUCGUCGUCAGCUCGUGUCGUGAGAUGUUGGGUUAAGUCCCGCAACGAGCGCAACCCUUGUUACUAGUUGCCAGCAUUGAGUUGGGCAGUGAGACUGCCGGUGACAAACCGGAGGAAGGUGGGGACGACGUCAGAUCAUCAUGCCCCUUAUGACCUGGGCUACACACGUGCUACAAUGGACGGUACAACGAGUCGCAAACUCGCGAGAGUAAGCUAAUCUCUUAAAGCCGUUCUCAGUUCGGACUGUAGGCUGCAACUCGCCUAUCGGAAUCGCUAGUAAUCGCGGCAUGCCGCGGUGAAUACGUUCCCGGGCCUUGUACACACCGCCCGUCACACCAUGGGAGUUUGUAACUGCCCAAAGUCGGUG